GCGGUGCGGAGCGAGGGCGAGGCUUCGGCCCGCACGGGUGGCAGCGGUCCCCAGGGAGGAAAGACAAAGAUAUGCGGGUUAGAAACCAAGGAAAGAGCGCCGACGCCUCUCAGCCCCGCAAGAGCUGCAGACCCACGGGCAGUGCGGUGCCACUUUCGCCCAACAGGGUGCCAAGAGAGAAAACUGCGGUGGUCAUAGGAAAACAGAUCCAAUUCAGGUCUCAUGCAACAACUUGGUGGCAAUUUAGGAAAAUGUAUCAAAACCCUUAAAUGUCUGAAUACUCUUUGACCCAGAAAGUCUAGCUUGAGAAUUUUCCCUUAAGGAAUAAUUAUGAAUACCUACAAACUUUUCAUACAGGGUGUUCAGUGCAGUAUCUAUAAUAGAAAAAAAAAAUGCCAGAAAAAAAUGGCAAAAAAAAAAAAAAAAUGGGAAUGUCCUACACCCAACAAUAAGGUAUUGGUUAUAGUCUUUUUCUUACAGCGAAUACUAAACUGCUAUUGAAAUAAUGCUGUGAAAUAAUACGUAAUGAUAUGGAAAAGAAUUGAUACUAUAUGCAAUGAAAAAAAUCAGUUUCAUCCCCAUUUGUACCAUGUGAGUGUAUACUUACGUGUACAUGUGUGUACACACGACACAUCACAUAUGUAAUAAUGGACAGAAACACAUCAAAAUGUUAAGCAGUUAUCUCCAGGUGAUAAAGCUGCAGGUAACGCUUUUUUAACUUAUGUUUCCCAAAUUUCAUACAAGUUUGUUUUACAGUAAAAAAUAUAAUACAAGGAAUUUUACUCCAUUCUUAUGUACCCAUUCUAUAUUUAUCUCAAUUCAAAUUUAUGAAAAUCUUUCUUUUCUAUUGUGUAGCAAAGUGGUGGACAUCAAAAGAUUUUAAAAAAUGAAGAGUCCACAAAAGUAGUUUAUCUUCCUCAAAAGUUCUGCGUAAAUUACAGUAUUACAGAAGAGUUUAUUGCUUAAACACUUUGCAGUUAAUCAAAGCUACUGUCUUUUGUGACAUUAUAUCUUAUUUAACUCUAGUAAUAAUUUCCACUUUAGAAAAAAAAAAAUCUGGGCUUUUGAGAAAUGUAAUUUGAUUUGUAAUUUCCAGACUUGGGAACACACAGUUUGCUAAAAACAGAAAAAUGUGGGACAAAUGUUUUAGAUCAUACCAAUGUUUUAGAGUAAUUCAAUGAAUCUCUCUUUAGUUUGAAAUAAUUGAAUGGGAUCAAAACUAAAAUAUGGCAAUGAACUAGAAUCUAAGCUUAACAUCCUGGUCUCCCAAUCAUAAAUUAAUUUAAAAUUUUAAGUUAAUACCUAGGGAGUCUGUUUUGCUAAGCCUUGUUCCAGGAACAUGCAUAAAAGUGAUAAUAAAAUUAUAAUAAUAUAACACAGGAGAGGGGUUCCAGGACUUUGUUAUUAGAUUGAUAGAAGAUCCUCUGUAAGUUUCAGAUAUAUUUUAAGCUGAAGUGAGCUCAGAGUUGUCAGGCUGAUUUUAUCUAAUGAUGAGCAAAUCCAAGAUUAGAUGUUUAUUGGAAUGUUGCUUUGUUGCUUAAACAGAUGACAUAAGUAAUCACACCAUCCUGUAAGUUUCCUUCACCCUGAAGGUACUGGAUACAAUUAUUGUGUCUGGAAGCAUACUUUUGGUAAAAAUUAUCAGAAAUAAAUAAAAUGUCCAAAGAGAAUAAAUCCUCUUAAGGCCAAAAGUUUGUGUUAACCACCUGCUCCUGAAUAAAAUGAAGGUUAUAGGAGCUUUUAAUAAAACAUUUUCUCUCAAAAACCUUAAUAUUCCCCAAAUGAUGUAACCAAACAAUGUUAAAUACAAAUAAGACAGAAGAGCAUUUAUUAUUGGUGCUACAGUCCAGCUUUCACUAUUCAUACAGUGAUUUCAAUUUAACUCAACAUUUUUGGAGUCCCUAUUAUGUCUCCUGCACUGUGCUCAGACAGUAUGAACAAAAAAGAUAACACAAGGUUCCUACCUUUGAGAAGCUCUAGCUAGAAAAUUACCUUCAGAUUACUCAGAUGCGGGGGAUAACCUGAAUCCCUAAAUUACUCGCCAUUGUCGUGUCAAAGCUUCGCAUCCCAUAUUCUUCAAAUGAGCUGAUUUCCUCUCAUUCCUUUGCUCAGAUUUAUCCAGAGCAACCUACUGCCUCCACAAUAGCUAAAUCGAUAGAGAUUCUGACUAAAGAUAUGGACUUCCUCCUCCAGAAACAUGCGCAGAAGUGCAUACACCAUUUACUUCGUUUCACUGCACUGGAAGAUGAUUUACUGAACAUAAGCAAUAUUUGUAAAGGAUUAUGCCUCCGUUCUCUUUUGAAAGAAAAAUGACUGUUUCCUGGAAAAAAAAUUUAGAAAAUUCUGACUGUUCAGUAGUACAUCUCAAUGAGAUCUAGUUUAAAUGAGUUGAAACUGUGCUUUGGCUUUUGACAUAGCAACAUAUACUUCAUCUUUGAUAACCCAUUACAACUUUUUCCCUAUGGCAACAAGUGCUGAAAUCCUUGACUCACAAAGGUACGUAUUUAAUAGAACGAAAGCAGAAUUGCAUAGAAUGGAAUUUGCCAGGUUAAGGUGGCCUGCACACUGUAACACCAAAUUCCUCCAAGACUUUCAAGUUAGAUUCAAGUCACAUUAUUUCCUCUGCCUUCAAGUUCAAUUAGACUUCUGGAAAGUCAGCAGAUUUCUGUCUGGUUAGAGAAAAACAUCUUACCCUGCUCCUGUUUCUUGGCAACACCUUUUGGAAAGGUGGUAACAGCUGCUGAUAUGGAAAGCACCGAGGCACAAUGACGUGCAGCAAUCCUUUCCUCAUCAAGCAGGAAAACCAUGCUGUGUUGCUGACAUCACAGGUGCACCAGCUGCCCCCAGAGUGCAAUUUUUCUUCUUCCAUUUGAAUAUUUAUUGAGAACGAAUAUUUUGAAGAUGUUGACAGUCUUUCCAGUUUCCAAAAGGUGUUCUUAAAUGGAGUUCUCCUUUGAUGACAUCAGCAAGCACAUGAAAAUGUGAAGCUGGAUGCACUGAGAGGCAUCAACAGUUUCAUUCAUUUGCAUGCUGAAGAGAAAUAUGCAGAGCUGCCCAUUUCUUCCAAGUCUGAAGUGAGUGAUGUCAUUUGACAGAAGUAGGGCCUUAAUUUUCUUUCAUGGACCACAUUUAAGAACCUUUGAGUCAAACUAUUUGAUUCUGCACUCCCCUUACACUAUUGUUUCCCACCUCUGUACUUUUGUUCUUGGCAUUUCACCCAUCGAAAAAUGUUUUCUCCCUGCUCUCAUCUAUUCAAAUCCUGUCCAUCUCUCAAGACCUAGACCAAAGCCAGUCUCUUUCAUUAAGCUUUCCCUGACUACUGCAGCCUGAAAUGAUCUCUCUUCUGAACUCUGACAAUGGUUCCUAUCUUUGACAGUUCUCAAAAUGUGGUUCUGAGACCACCACCUUUAAAAAUGCACCAUAUUAUGUAUUUUUACAAGCACCAGAAAGAGCUGUGGUAAUUUUUCCUGUUUUCCUGAAUCUUCUUUGCAACUCUUAAAAGAAUAACUCACUUCCCAGAUGGAUGGAGAGAAGACUGACAAUGAUUAUUUUUGCUGGGGUGAUCAACUGACUCAUCUGAAUCAUUCCUUUCUGUACUCAUUUUCACACAAAUGUUUUGAUUUGUCAGUUGUGUAUCUGUCAGGUCUGUAGUGUCACUGCUGACUGCUGAAAUCCUACAUUUACCCAUGGACUUUUCAAUCACAACCUCCCAGUGCCAUGGCCAUCCUUCUAAGGAUUCAGAUGUUGCUACCAUUUUCAAAAUAACUUCACACUCUAUGAGAAAGAAUUUAAGCAGAGCUUAAAAUGAAGGCAAGCACAGUUAGAUGGAAAUGGCUACAACUGACAUCAUAUACUCAAAUAAGAUGUAAAAUCAAAUGUAUUCUGGAACUGAGCAGCAACUUCAAGAUCAUCUCUUCCAACAGAUUCACAUGACAGGUGGGGGAAAUGUGGAGAAUGGGGUAUUUCAGAGCAAGAAACUGAAAUUUAAAAGAAUAAAAAUCUUAAAGUUAAAACAAUAGCAAGAUCACAUACAGUCAAAGGCAUUGUCCUAAUUAGCUCAUGGAUUCAACAUUAAGGAUAAAUAAAAUUGAAGAAUUAAAUGAAAAGAAUUAAAGGAUGAAAAUAACUCAAAAUGUAAAAGAUGGAUCACACUCAUCUAUAAACAUGGCCCAAAAGACUGUCUUUGAUAUUACAAGUAACAAGAUGACUUGGACUCAAAACCAGUUAUGCUUAUUCAUAAUAAUAGUUAUCAUGUACUUACUGUAUACCAGGAAUUGGGCUAAGUGUUUUACAUACAUUAAUCAACUCAACUGCAUUAAAUUCUAAUAGAAAAAAAGUAUCAAAAGAGAAAGUCUAUAAUACCUCUGUAAGAAAAGAAAUGAAGAAAGCAAAAGCUGGCCAUGCAUCUGCAGCCUGGUCUAGUAGAAAGGAUGCUCUGCAUAUUGAACAAUAUCUGGUCUGAGUGGCAGUUGCAUUCCUAUGGGGAAGAUGAGUGUGUUGCACUACCAGAGCUUACUGACACUGGUUGCUGAGAGCUGAUUCAAUGCUCACCAAGCAACCUUCUGAUUAUAAUUUAUUUUUCAUGUAGAUUUGCCUAUUGGGAGAAAAUGCACUGAACCAUAAACAUGAGAAAUGAUUGUGCCUGACACUUCCCAUCUCAAAUUAAAGAACUGAAUUGUGGAAUUUAUACACUACUAUGAAGCCGGUUAAAGGGAUACAGUCUUCUAAUACCUAGUUACCUCUCUGGAUGAACCAAUAAUCAGGGUCAGCCUUAGAAAGCAGUGGCCACAUCAAAGUUCCUGUGAGGCCUGGCAGGGAGGCCAGCCUGCCCUCUGUCCUGCUGUCCACCUUCUUUAAACAGCAAAAUCCCACGAUUACACACACACACACACACACAAUAACCAUUUUAAUUAGAAAUGGAAAUGAUGAGAAAAGGAACAAAAUAUAGUGUUUUUCCAUGCUCUAGAGCACUAACUUGUGAGCUUAGUUUUUACAGCAGAUAAGGCCAAAGUGGUUUUUUCCCCCCAAUGGCACCGAUAAGUACUUAUUUUGCUUAUUAAAAGAAUCAGUCACCUAAGCAAAAAGAAAAAGUCCAAGUAGAACUUGGACAUAUAAACUUUUACCAAAGAAUAAAUAUAAAAAUAUUUCAGAUGUCCACAAAUAUAUGCAAUACAUCAUUACUUAGGGGUGUUGUUUCCUUUUGGGAUGUUUUGUUGGCCAGUUUUUGUUUUCUGACAUCAUCUCCAUAGGAGAGAAACUUAUAAAUAUGGCAGGAUCCUAACAUGACUUAAUCACAGUUCUUGACAAGACUUUUUGUUCAUUAUCUUACAUCAAGAAUUCCAAAGUCAGAAUGCAGUAAGAACCCUUAGGACCCUGUGUUCAGGGUUGAGGAUAACACACGUAAAAGCUGUGCUAAAGCUAUGAACAUCAAGAAUAUGAUCUUACUUGUUCAACAACUGAAUUUUAACUAUGAUGAUGGUGUUAUGAAAAUAUAUUUUUAGUCUGAUUAACUUUUUUUCCAAUCAACAAUGGUUGGAGUCUAAUAGUAUUUUCAGACAGAAUUACCAAGUAAAUAAUACAUUGAGAAGGCCUGCCAUCUUUAGGAAGAAAGCAGAAUUACUGACUAAUUAUCUAACAUGAAGUUCAAAUAUAAGUACUCAACCUCUAUGAAUAUUAUCAUGGACAUUUGGCAUGGGACACAUUUUUAAAUGGAUUUGUCUUUUGUGACACAAUUUGGUCCAUAAGAUCUAAAAUCAAACGGUUCUGACAGGCUCUAUUUUUCUCUGAAAGUUAAAGCAAUAAUUGCACUGAUAGAUAAGCUGGCCAAAAAAAAAAACCCAGAAUGAUCAAAAUUAAUGGUGUAUUUUUAUAUAGAUGAUCAUGAAUCAUAUCAAGAUAAAAAUAUAUAGUUACAAGCUGUUUUGAGAAACAAAUGAAAGACUAUUUCUGUGAUAUGCAUUUGAGGUUGGAGAUUUUAAAAUUUAGAAAAUGAAACAAACAUUUGUGGUUUGACAUUUUAACAUCAUUGCUUCUCACUGGCCUUGAGAUAAACUGUUUGUACACACAGUACAAAUUUUUACACAAGUCUGAAGGUAAAUGAUUUCCCUGAAAACUUCAUCUGCCAAUUCUUUCUCAAAUGGAAAAGUAAAUAUACAAUUAGCUAUUUUUGGUAACCAGCAAUAACAGCUAUUUAUAAAUUUCCCUUAUUAUUUUUUAACUUUCAACAUUAUUUAUCAUAAAUCAGUGACCCUCUCUUCCUGAAAGAAAUGUGAAAUACUACAUCAUGUUGCACGUGAGGUACUCAAUAUGCUAGAAAUAAAUAAUAAUUUAAUACUCUGUCCAUUCAUAUUAACAAAAAACAGUUGUUUAAUAAUAAUAGGCAGUAUAGCAAAAUGGAAAGUUCAUGGACCAAGGAACAAAAAAAUCCCGGGCUCUACAAUUUUCAGACAUUGUUAAGUAAAAAAAAGCAAGGUGCAGAAAGGUAUGCAUAAUAUGCUACCAUCUGUGUGAAGGACAAUGUAUACAUCUCCUUGAUUGCACAUACAUGAAAUAGCUCUUGAAAGUCCAAGAAAUUGGUAACUUCUUGCCUCUGGGGAAGGUAAUGGAAGAACUGAGAGAUGGGGUAGGGAAAAAACUUACCUUUCACAGUAUACCUUUUUGUACUUUUUAAAAACAUGUUAUUACAUAUUAAAAUAAUCUUUAAGAGAUAGCUGGCUUCUAUUCCUGACUUCUUCAUCAGCUACACAUUUGACCUUGUGCAAUCACUUACCUCAAUUUUCUCCAUUUUAAAAUACUAAAUCUCUAGAUUCUCCAUGUACAACUCAACAGAAUUAUGGCUCAAUCGAAGGUAUAUACAAAAUAUCAGGUGGUGAAAUAAAAUAACUAUUAGCCUUAAUUUGCAAUGACUUACUCUUCUGUCUUUUUAUUCUGUAUUGAAAGUAAAAGUGUGAUUAACCCACCUUUUUGACAUAUCCAAACUAUUGCUUCUGAGAUACACACUCUCAAAACAUUUCAGUUAUUGAGUAAAUAUUAAAUGUAAGUAUAAAGAGGUAGAAUUUUGUGGUAGAGUUUCAAAAUUGAAACUGAGAUAGGAAAAAGCUGAAAAUCACCCAUAUAUCUCCAAAAAAUUAUCCCAAGAAUCUUCUAAAAAUCAUCCAUAAUCUUUAUAAACAGAAGAUACUAAAAGAACCAGAGAAGGCCAAGAGUAGAGCAAUAGAAAGCUUAGACCAGGAAAAAUAGGACAUGAAGAAGACACUACAAAAAAGAAAUCAAAACUUAUUGAUAGCUUACAGGACAGGAAGAAUGGGGACAGGCCUGGUGAUCCAUUCUUUCAUAAUUCUACAUGCUGCAGGGUAAAACUGCUAGCCUUGGGUCUCAAAGGGCUUAGUCUAAUCAUGGGGGGCAAUGUAAUUAAUAACGCAAUAAUAACACAAAGGAUAGAAGUGAAAAAUAAAUGGUAAGGUAAAUGUGAGUUUAUCAGAAGAGGUCUCUAUGAGUUGGAACUGUCAAGAACAGAUUCAUAGAAGAAAUAAGACUUUGAAGUCUACGUAAUAAGCAAAGUGGUGGUGGUAGCAUGGAUAAAAUGAAGAAUUCAAGCAAGGAGAGUCAGUUCUAGUAGGAUGGGAGCAGUAAUCGUAGAUAACAGGCUGAUGAAUUUAGUUUUAGACAUAGUUUUAUUCUAAAUAGUAACUUGGCUAAAAAUAUUAAAAAUUAUUUUUCAAAUGUUGGGUUGCCAAAUUUUCUUUAUAGAUUACUACAUAGGAAUGAUGACAUGCUAGUAAUAUAUCAAAACUGGCUGACUAGGCAAGAUCAACACACAUCUAGAUCCAACUUUUUAAUAGGCAGGGCCCUGAGGUAUGAGAAAAUCACACUUACACAGGAUGUUUGGUAACCAUCUUCCAGUAUUUUCUUGCAGGUACCUAAUAUUAUUUCCUAACACAAUUUUCAUACUCAGGAAUCAGCUCCACCCAAAAAACAUAAACCAGGAAAUCAAGAGGUGCCAGUUUUACUUUGCCAUUGAUUAAGUUUGUGAAUUGGGCCUGGGUGAUGAAAUUGAGUGCUGUGGGUUUUAACUAUAUGAAAAAAUGUCAAAACAAAAAAAACCAAAAGAACAAUCUGUCAGUGAUCUAGUGAUUUUGUAAAGCUAAAGCAAUGAUGUAUAACCACUUAACUUCUGGCAAAAUACACAUUAUAAAUUCAAGAUAUUUGUUAUUACAUGGAUAAAAAGUUGUGUCUGUGUGUGUGUGUGUAUGUGUGUGUGAGAGAGAGAGAGUGUGUGUUGUUAUUGGUAGCAUACUGAUAAAUCUUGUAAGAAAUUUCUAAAAAUGUAUUUCUAAAAUGUUGGCACAGGGCAAGAAAGAAUAUCAACAAAUAUAAAGAAGGCUAUAAAGCAAAUGAAGUCCUCAAUGCAGAAAGCAUAUAUUCUAAAAUUCUAUUCUACUUUUGAUUUUUGUUACAAUCCUUCAAACACCCAAAUACACAUAUCUUCAUCAAUAAUCUCUUAGUGAUUUACUGGGGUGUGAAUGAGAAUAUAGAGGCUUGCCAGGAAAAAAAAAAUGAUGUUUAAACAAAAAGAGACUGGAAACAGGUAAAAGUUUAUGGUUAAUAUAAUUGUGUGUUACAGCAGUGUGCCUUGUAUUAUUUGAUGUGGAUAUUAGGCUUUAAUGCUAAUACCCAUCACUGAUUAAAGUAUAAAUAACAAGAAAGAGAAACCAUUUUCAAAGCAUUAAAACAAAAAACUUAAAAAUGUGUGUGUGUGUGUUUUUUUUACUCUAGAUCAUAAGGGAAUAAAAAAAUUGUUUUAUUAUAGCUAUCCUCUUCUAAUUCAGGUCUGUCAUUUCUACUAUUGACUUCAGUUUUUAGGAGUUAUAACUCAGCCAUAAAAUUUACUAUAUUGAAACUUGACAAAGUCUCCUGGGAAUUCUUUCCUUUAAAGGCAUAUUUUAAAAGUUAAUGCCAAAAAAGUUGGAUACAGACCAAUGGCAUCUUGAGUGGUAUACAGACCUAUGCUUUCUUUAUUAAAUCAAUGGUUUCUAUCCCAAGCAGGGCUGAUUUCUGAAAAGUCAUCUUGCAUACCCUCAUAAGUACCCACUGGCCUGGAGGUACGUGGUGGUAAAUAGGCUGCUUCAUUUCACUUUUAAGGAGACACAAAUUUCCACUUCAUACUAGUGUUUUCUAGAUGGCAAGAUCAGAAACAGUUUUAUCGUUAGGUUCUUCCUCCAGAAAGGAGGUGGAAAAGGGAAAAACCAAUGAGGGCCACAGGAUGACAACGCAGGAUCUACAUUUCAUUAAAUAUUCACCAGUCCAAAAAGUGCAGCUUUACAAAGUAUAAUUAAUAUAUUUAAGUCAUCUGUUCAACCUUUAAUAGUACCUUUAUUCCCUUAGACUCUGGCUAUGGAUACUAAAUUACUUAAGUUUCUCAUACGGAUUAUGUCAAAUUCUAUCAGGAUCUUAUCAGCCAGAUGGCUUUCUCCUAGUUUCCUUGACUAGAUUAGGCACACAGACAUAGUACUUGCCUAGAUCAGAGGCAUGGGGAGUAAAUCAUGAAAAUUCCUGGACAGAUCAAAGCUAUGGGACUCAACAAAUAAAUCUUAUUUGGUCCAAGAACACUAAUCAAUUGCUUUAUUUUUUAAAAUAAGAUUUUUCCUUUUUCAAGAAAUAAUCUUUUAAAAUAGGUCUUACAGAUUUUAUCUUAAAACCUCUCUGAAUACAACACAUAAAUUAAUUCAUAUUGCCUAAUACUAUUACAAUUUAAUUAUUCAGUACUUCUCAGAGUAAAAUCAAAUACAUGUUAUAUUACAUAUUUUAUAUGGGGGUGGGGGUAACAGAGAGAGAGAGAGAGACAGCAUCAGAGCUAGCCAAAUACCUGCUCCCAAAUGAAAAACUGAAAUAGGUAGGUAUUAUCCUAAAUUACAUAAUAAAUGAAAAGAAUCCAUGUAGUAGUAUAAUACAUUGAUUCUAUUUAUUCUUCCUGGUAAUCCCUUCAAAGUCUAUGGCUUCAACAACUACAUGAAUACUAAUGACUUCUAAAUCUCUAGCCCCUGGGCAAUUUCUCUCCUGACCUCUAACCUGUAUAUUCUACUCCUAUUAAGCAUCUCCAAUUAGAUAUCCCUCUACCACCUCAAACUCAACAUACCUAAAACUUAAUUCAGCAUUUCCCCCUGGAAAAGUGUUCUUCUUCCUCCCGUAUUCUUUGCCUUGAAGAAUGGUGCCACCCACCUGCUCAACUAGAAUGCCUGAAACUGAAUCAUACUAGAUUCUUUCUUCGUCUCCACUGCCUGGAAAAUUUCAUUUCUGAAAUAAUUAUUUCACCUGUAUCCUUUUCUGUAGUCUCAUUGCCAAAACCCGAAUUUACGUCCUAUCACUCUUACUUAGACUUCUGAAAUAGUCUCUUAAUUGAUUUCCCUCACACAAUCCCACAUCCCCACCUCCACUCCAAUUCAGUCCCCUUGGUGCUAUUAUAUGUCCCUGUUUAUAAUCUUUCAACGGUACUCCUAAUUUUGAAAUAUAGUUCAAACUAUUUACUUGGUACAUAAAAGCCUUCUUGAUUUGGCCAUUUCCCUGUCUCAUACUCCUUCCCUUAAUCUACAUGUGAUUUCAUGUCUCUGUACCUACAUGGAAACUUUUUCUGCCUAUCUCUUUCAAAACUCAAGAAUAAAUUUAGGAAUUAUAAGUCUUUCCUAACUCCUCAGUGUGCCUUAAUAUUCCACUUCUGUGUCCUUAUAAUGUAUUCCUCUUCCAUCAUACUUGAAGAGGAACUGCAUUGCUUGUCUCUGUACCUGACUCAGUGCCUCGCACGAAGCAGGAGCUUACUUGUUUACUGACUGAAUGAAAUAAGUCAAUGUAAGACAGUGAAAUCUGAAGAAUACUCAUGGAAUGCUUUAACUUUUGAUACUGAACAAGCUCUGCCAAAAAAAUUGUUUAAUUUGCUUAUUAUUACUAAUCUGUCCCCAAUCGUAUUUUUAAAUAAUUUCUUUCAUCUUCUAUUCAAUAAAGUGUGCUAAGUUGAAAUCUUCAACCUUUAAAAGGCAAACACCUCAUUUCAAACACAACUAGUCUUACAAGUAAUAAACUCUUUAAUUAACAUGUAAUACAAAGGCUUGCAUUACUCAAGAGACUAAAAGGAAUUUGGGUUAAUUCAACCUAGCAAAUACCUGUUUGCCUGCAUACCUAGGACACCAUCUACACAUCAGCAGCAUGUAAACAAAUCUAGCUGUCACCACCCCACAGCCCCCAAAUCAACUACAGUCACGUCAGUAAAUCUCCUGUCAUGUAUCAUAGCCCCAGCAUCCCUUCAGCUUCCUAUGAUCAACCCAGUAAGGUUUAGGUUAUUUUUAAUUCUUACCAACAAAGUUAAUUUAGUUAUUUAAAAGCUAUAACACUAUUUCCACCUCUGUAUGCAACAUACCAAAUUAAAAUUCUAGCAAAGAGGACCUGAAAGCAAAAUAUUUUUAAGUAAAGAAAUUAAAGUUAUUUUUAAAAUAGAACUUAUUCAAAAACAAAAUUGUCAGUCAAUGCCUUAAAAACAAUAAACACACCUAGUCCUAACAAUAUCAUAAUGAAAAUUAAGCAUGUGUAAUCUUCAGAGUUGAGUGUUAUUUUUAAGAGGCAAUAGAGUCUCUGAACAGAUGACUUACUUCCUCUACUUGUCUUUUAUUUGACCUCAGAGGACCAUAGCUGACAGGAGGAUCGGAAAUGAGAAAUUACUUUUAGAUUCAUGUUUAUCAUUUAUCUGAUGGUCAUUGGAAAAAACGAAGGACAAAGUUUCAUCCUCUGCGUACUGAAACUUUAAUGGAAGACAAUAUCCAAACCAAAACUAUUUUAGACUGGAUCUAAAGCCCAUUACACUUCUCUUAUAGAAUAAGCAAGAGUAGGAAACAGAUACACCACACUUAAAUGAAAAAAAAAAAGGAAAUCUUUUAAAAUGUAGAUGGUUAUUAUUUAUAGCCUUAUUGUUCAAAGUGUGGAUCACACACCAUCAGCACGGACAUCACAUGGAGCUCGCUGGAACUGGAAAAUCUCAGGUCACACCCAGAGCUCCUGACUCAGAAUCUGCAUUUUAACAAGGUCCCACAUGAUCAUAUAUAUGUUAAGGUUUGAGGUUCUUUGGUUUAUAUAGUUGAGUAGUUCUGAAAACCCAUCAAAUUACCCAGGUAGUUGGUACAAAAUAUAUAGGAGCUUGGACACUACCACUAGAAAUUGCAAUCUGAUAGAUGUGGAGUCAGCCAAACAUCUGCAUUUUUUCAAAAUUUUGUAGGCAAUUUGAAUUCACAUCCUGAUUAAAUAACCAACCACUAGUGUAAUCAAAGGAAUUUUGGCUUUACCAAAGUACAGAACUCCUUUAAAUACCAAACUCCUCUACUCUAGUACAUUGAAAAUAACAUUUUAUGUAUUCUUGUUUCAGACACUCUAUUUUGUAAAACAGACAAAUGUUAAUUUAUAUAUUUACAUAUAAUCCUUUAUAGGAGAUUCAAUAAUCUCUCCUACAGAAAAGUUGAGGUCAACUCAGAUGUAUGCCCAUUCUCCAAAGAGACCCAAACUGGUUCUUUGCUGGAACAAAAUACAUUUUAAAUCACAAGGUAUCACUAGCACAUAAUACUGCUUGUGAUUUUUUUUUUGUUAACAUGGUAAGUCAUCCAAGAUGGAAACUUUAUUUAUACUAACAGCAACUCAAAUACUCAAUUCAAUCAACAACAAAGUUAAAAUAAAGAGUCAAAAACAUGAGAACUAAAAUAUGAAAAAAUACUUUAUCAGUGUCACUGAUAUCACUACAGGCAUGUAAUGAAGCAUGCAAAUGUGUACUUGGAGUAUAAUUAAGUUAGGAAUAAAGACAUAAGUUAGUGUUGCUUCUCAUCAAUAAUGAGCAAAGAAGACUGAUCCUGGCAUGAUACUGGAGCAGUUUUGCAGGUCACUUAACCAACAGCCUCCAUCCAAAAUGCCUUCCCUCCACAAAUUCUAUAGGUCACAAACUGUACUCAGUAUUGUGCUCAGCACUCAGGACACAAGGACGGAAACAGCCCUGCCUUCAAGCGCCUUUUUCAGUCUAGUUGGGGAGACCCAAAUAAACAGGUAGUUACAAAACAUGGUACUAACUGCCACAACAGGAGAGGGAGAGGGUAGGAUGAGUAUACUGAAGGGUACUCAGCUGCCUUGGACAGGGAAGGUUCCUAAGAGAUGAGUCCUGAAAGAAGAGAGGUGGGUAAUACAAGAGGACAUUCCAAGCUGAGGCCUUAGAAAAAAGAGCACGAAUUUGCACUUAAGAAAAAUCACUCUAAGGCCAGGUGUGGUGGUGCAUGCCUGUAAUCCCAUCGCUUUGUGAAGCCAAGUCAGGAGGAUUGCUUGAGGCCAGGAUUCGACACCAGCCUGAGCAACAUAGAGAGACCUCAUCUCUACAGAAAAUAAAUAAUAAAAAUUAGCAAGGUGUGGUGGUACAGGCUUGUAUCCCAGCUACUCAGGAAGCUGAGGAAGGAGAAUCACCUGAGCCCAGGAGUUCGAGGCUGCAGUCAACUAGGAUUAUACCACUAUGUACUUCAUCCUGAGUGAAAAAAAGGAAAAGAAAAAUCAAUCUGGCCUCAGACAUGAAAAAAAGCCUAGACUUAUAAAAUUCUUAAGAGUAAUCAAGUCAUAUUUUUCUUCAGAUCCUAAAUGUUUACUACAGUCCUUGGCAUAAAGUAGUUGCUCAAGUGUAGAUGGCUGAAUAAAUGAGUGAAUGGAAUUAUAUGUAAAGAAAUUUAAAAGUCCAAUAAAGAUGAAUUCACUAAUAUUUAUUCAUUCCAUAUGUUCUAAAUAUAAUCUAUUCUUGAUGACUCUGGAUGAAUAAACUCAGCUUAUGUAGAAAAGUAUAUCUUUUGGAAAGGUUCUCAUUCAACAGAGUUUCAUUAUUAAGCUUUAGAACUUAAGGCAAAACUGCUGAUACCAAGUAAAAAGCUUAAAGCAAAACUAUGUUGAAUAUGAUUCUCUCCUAAGAUGCUGAAUAUAUGAGAAGCUACAUAGUGAAGGCCCUAUAAAAGAUAAGGCCUCAGGCCUCAACGUGUGCACAAUUCCAACAGAGACAGAAUUAUUCCAAGGCCAAGCAUAGAGAUACAAUUAUUCCAAGCCCCAGUGUAAGAACCACCUUUCCCAAAAAGCUUUUUGUGGAAAAUGCCCAAAAAUAAUAUUUAGACCAGGAAAAAAAUCUAGUAAGCUGUUAUUUGAUUGGAAUUUCUUCAGAAAUACAAAUAGCCUCCAUGAGACAAGUGUGACACUAAAACUGCUUUGAUUGAAUCAUUGUCAAGCCUGGUCCCAUCUUCUGAUUAGAAAGGUUCCACAGUGCCCUCACUGAAGUGUCAGUGUGGGGUAGUAAGUUGUUCACUCUCAUCCUUAGGGAAAUAAAUGCAAAAAGCAAAAGAGAGAAGCCCAUUACUAUUUUAAACUACAGAUUAAGGUCUGUGAGAAUGUACUAAGAGUCUAGGACCCUGUAAUUUCCCUGCCUUUGCUACUUGGUAUCUGUUUGCCUGCACUGCCUGUACUUUGCUAUUAUCCAUCCACUCAUUCAACAGAUAUGUUUUAAGUGUUACUAUGUCCCGAGCAUUGUGCUAGGCCCAGGGUCUACAUAACUCUCCCCAGUCCCUUACAUAAAUCUCUCCAGUGGGAAGAAAGACAUUAAACAAAUCAAUGCACAAAUAUAAACACAAUUACAAACAGUAUUAGAUGACAGUAGGAAAGGAACAUGAAACAAACAACAAAGAAGACAGACAUACUUUAUUUAGAAGUGACAUUUGGCAGAGACCUGAAAGAUAAGUAAAUUAGUCAAGCGAUGAACAUACAGUAACAACAGAUCUGUGUUUUAGGAAGAUAUUUCUAACAACAGCACGGAAGACAGAUUAGAAAAGAGGUCAGUUAAGAGACUACUGCAAUAGUGAAGGUAAGUGAUAACAAAACUACUAAAAGUGGAGAUGGGAAGGGGAAGCAAACGUGAAAAACAUUCAGAGGCAGGAUGGAUAGGCAUUGAUCACAGAUUAGGGAGAGUAUAAAAGAAAGAAGUUAAGGCAUUUGCCAGGAUUCCAACUAGCAUAGGUAACCGGAAGGGUAGGGGUUAGAACAACUGAGACAUGGAGCACAUAGGAAGAAAUUUUAAAAGGAAGAUAAGUUUGGAUUACUGAGUUUUUUGUUGCAUUUAAGAUACUGGUGACACAUUCAUGUGGAGAUGUCUGACAUUCAACUUUGAAAACAAAUGGUCUUAUAAUAAGGAGAACAGCCAGACUAGAAAACGGACCUGGAGUCAUCUUUAUGGAAGUGAUAAGUGAUACCUCGGGAAUAGAGGAAUCACUAAGAGUAUAUAAAAAGAAAAAAAGACAUUAAGGAAACCUUAAUCCAUAUUUGAAGACCUAGUAACAAAACAAAAGCCAGUGGCAAAAGAGAAAGUAUUAAAUUUCACAGAAGCAUCAGUCCAAUAAACAUUUAUCAACACCCACCAUGUUCCAGGUACUAUGCUAGAUAUGGGGGUACAAAAAAAAGACAGGACUCCUACCCUUAAGAAAUGUAUAGCCUAGAGAAGAGAUAGAAAUAGAUUAUUUCCAGAGAGUUAUAAACGGGGCACCACAGAGACACAGAAGGGAGACACCCAGGAGGUCAGGGAAUACUCACUGAUGUGAGGCAUUAAGAUUAAAUAAAAUGAUGCAAAGAAAGUUGGUAAGGGCAAACCAAAUGAAAUCAAGACAAUGCUCCUGGACUUCUAAAAUACUGAGUAAGAUAACUGGUUUAGGAAAGAACUUGGUUGGAAGGAGCCAAAAGAGGCUAAAGUGAUUUAAACUGGAAAGAAUAAUCUAUUCUUGGAAGAAAAUAAACAUAGAAGAUGAAAAAAGGGGACAAAGGACAAGGGGUUUUUGGCCAAAAGUGUACAAGUUUUGGGUGAACUGUUACAAAAGAGAGAUUGAAGGUGCCAAGCUGUGUAAGGAUAUGGGAAGGUGGGUAAAAAGAACUUAUUUGAAGUUUGCUGAGCUUUAUGUAAUUGUAUAUUUCUAUCUCAUUAGAAGAUUUCACUAAUAUAUUACAGAAGUUCAUUACUUUCCAAAGGUUCGGGGCUUGUCUGCUUCUUUUGAAUGCAAUACUGAGACUGGCCCAAAAUGACCCAGGUAUACGUGACCAUGAAUGUGUGGAAAAGGUAAAUUUGUAAGCACUAAUGGUUGCAGAGGUCAAGCAUGAUGUAAAGAGAGAAGCCACUAGAUUUCACAUUUAUGUGGUGACCUUCAAGUGAACUUUCAACCGAAAUGUAGGGGUAGAAAAAAAUUACAGGUAGUUCACAAAGUGAAUGGCAGAGGCAUGGCUCUAACAUUGUUCAUUCAUUCAAAAAAUAUUUACUGAAUGCGUACGAUGCACUAGGAACUAGCUUGGGCUUCGGUGAAUCAACCAGGAUCAAGAGACAGAUUUCUCAGAAGCUUACAGUCUGAUAUAGAAGGAAAACAAGGAAAUAAACAAUUACAAUGUGACAGAAUCAGUACUAAAACAGGGUAGUAUGAGAGCACAUGGAAGUUUGACAGACUAGAUGGCAGUAACUAGGUUCAAGGUAGUAUAGAAGAGAAGUUUAUUUUUUGACUGAAAGGAAUUUGAGCAUGUUUGUAGGUUGAGGAAGAGGAGCUAGUGGACAGGGAGACAGAAGCUGGGGAGGGGUAAAGAGGAGGAGUUGUUGGAAGAAAGUCCAGUGAAGUAGACAGGCAAGGGUGGAAGUGCUGGACUUGGAACAGAAAAACAGCUCUUCCUCCAAAGAAGAGACAGAAGAUAAAAAAUAGUCCUGAUGUGAAAAGAGCAUAAACAAACAUCUUCUACUUUUUGUCAUGAUAUAAGCAAGAUCUGACUUUUAUAAAGGAAGCAAAGAUGGGGUUGAAGGCUUAAGAACAGUGUGAAAAGUUUGAAGCAAGCAAGGAUAAAUGAAAUGAUAACCAAUCAACUCCACUUCUUAAGAUUAUGUAAAUGAGAGAAAGCACAAUCAAUCAACAAUUGUGGGCAUGCUUUGUUUGGAUCUGGAAGUGGAACAUGAAGUGGAAGGCAAGCUGCAUUUCAUGGAAUUAGAUUAAGUAUGAAUUUAAAAAGGUAAGUAUUAAGAAUUAUCAAGAAAAAUCACUAAAUGCACACCCAUAUAGCAUGCAAUUAUAUAUGGGCUAAUACUAAUACAGUCAAUGUAGCACUACCAUGAGUCUGAACCUGUCACUAUUACUUAGUAGCAAUGGCAGAAGCUAGAAGGUUCACACAAUGAAGGCAGGCAACAGAAACCAUAAGUAACCAGAAAUGAAGAGGAAUCUCACAUGUAGAGAAGCUAUACAGAUUAGAUCAUGUAAUGGGAAAAGAAGUAAAACCCAAGACAGACUGUUGACUAAUGAUAAGAUAAGCCUGAAGAUAACUGAAGUGUUGUUCCUGCCUUCCUUCUUUCUUCAUCAUUCUCUUAGCAACUGUUGUGUGCUAGGUACACUAUGAGGCAUUGGUGAUACAAAGAAAAGACAAUUCUUGCUUGUAAUCUCAAAAUACAUUCCUGUACCCACAGCCUAAUGUUUACCAAAACAAAACAAAACAAAACUGUCCUGAGUUUUGCUAUUCAAAACUACACAUUGUUCAAUAAGACAUUAAUCAUGAAGAAACAAAAUAAUAUCAUAAAAGGUCAGCAAAUUCGUGAACAAUUAGCAAAAGGUGCCACCAAAAAUGGCACCAAACUCCAGCAUAAAGGCCCAUAAAAUAACGAAGUGCUCUAACUUAAUAAACUUCUGUGUAUCUUGGCUUUAUCACAGAUGUUACAUUUGACUUUUCAUUUAACGGUUGGAUUAUUGCCAACAAGAAGGCAACAAACAUCAAAUGGCAAAGCAAGAUAACCAAAAGCUAAGUGCUAGAAAGUAUUUCAGAAAGAAACCGAUACAAGUUCAGUGAUCACUACGACAGUAAUAAUAUUUACUGAGCUCUUCCCUGAGCCAGGUAUUGUGCUAAGUACACUAUACACAUCAUUAAGCUUUUAUAAAUUCCCACAAUAAACCUACCUAUAAGGUAGUUUCUAAUAUAAUCAUUUUACAGACAGGAAAAUUGAAGCUUAGAAAGAUUUGGUAACUUGCCCACACUACAGAGCUAGUAAGCAAAGAAGCCAGGACUUGAAUUCAGGUCUUCUUGACUCUUAAAAAAUCCGUGCUUUAACCACUGUAUGACUGUUUCCCCAAAAGAAUGGAAUGAUGCUAGGCACAUGAUGGAUGCUCGAUAGUGUCUGUCAUUGAAGGAAUGAAUGACAGGAUAUAAAGCAGCCAUUGCACAGUAAGCCCAAAUGUGGAAAGCACAAACAGAAAAGCAGAAACAAUACUUUGAGGAUUCACUAAAUCACCAACUCAAACUAUGCAGCAUAAUUGUGGAUGUCUGGAAAACAGCAGCAACUGAUGCGGUGGCCUAAUAUGCUGCUACAAAAAAUGUAAUGGCUCUUUCUGAGGGAAAACUUCAGGCUGUCUAUGAAUCUACAAACCCAAAGAAGGAAAUGUCAUCAGGCAGUUUAGAAAAGGAAAUGCAGAUACUGAUCAAAACACUAUUUUCCACAUUUUCUCAGUAGGGAAAGGAUUGCUGAUGCUGCAUUGACCUAACAGUCAAGAUCACAACUUGCCUUUCAUUCUGUCACCUUUCAAAAGAAAGAAAAACAUGUAUACUGGAAAGCUCAUCACAUUUUAGGACUAUGGUCUUUUAAGAGAUUCCCACCAAAAGAUUCCUUCUAUGGGGCCCAGGGCCAUGUUUUAUGCCACUGACUCUGCCACUAUGAUCACAAAUGACAGGACCAAGAGAGAGCAACUGUCCCAAGAGCAGCCAAUCUACAGACUGGCCAGCAACCUAUGAAGGGGACUGACAUGAGAGAUUAGCCCAACAGGCAAUGAAUCUAACUGGACUAAUUAGAUUUCCUCUUACAGAAGAUUGAACUCAAGCUGUACAGAAGGGGAAAGUAGCGGAAGGACACAGAGCAGAGGGUGGAACGAGGCAGUUAAGACCAUAUUGAGAAGAUACAGAGUGAGGUAAUUUGUUUAAAACAAAAUAAAGCAGAGUCUGAAAAGGGCUAAUAGCAGCAGAGAAGCAAUACUUCUGCUGCUCAGAGGGCAACAUCCAGACACUAGAGUUGCACUGAUUUUUUUUUCUCAUUUUGUAACACCUACCUAGUUGAAAUCUGAAUGGUGAAGCUGAGUUGUACAAUUACUCUUGGAAUCCUAUAAGGCCUGAUCACUUAUAUCUCCCAUAUUUCCCCAAAUAAAGUCUUCUAAUAAAACUCUCCUUAGAAGCUACCAAGUAAAAUUCUGUGCUUGCAACUCAAAAAAAGAGCAUAACAUAACAUUUGUAUCUAUGGGUACAUAUGCAUUUACACGCCAAUUAGAUGACUAGUGUAAGUUUCUUACCAGCUAUGUGAACCUAAGUAAAUCACUGAACUUCUCUAAGUUUCUAUUUUCUGUUCCAUAAAACAGGGAUAAUGAAAGAAUAGGUUUUACUUCAUAGAGUUGUUGGUAGGAUUAGGGACAUUAUGCAUGAAAAGAUUUAGCAGAGUGCUUGGCAUAUAACAAGCAUGCCAUAAAUGUUCAUUAUUAUUAGCUAUUACUAAGAAUUAUCUUUCUUUUUUAUAAACACAACACUGGUGAAAUUUCCUAAAAACAAGUGAAAUCCAUCAAUAUUGAGAAGAUAAAAUGUUAAGACUUGAAGUCUCAAAAUACAUGGUGUACAAUUUAGAGAUGGAAAAGGCUUACUUGCCUUAAUACCAUUAUCAAAUAUUUAUUUGAAGUGUCUUGGUAUACAUGAAAAUGUGCUAGGCACCGUACAAAAUUAUCAAGAGAGUCCCUGACAUCAAAAAUACACAAUCAAGCAAAUUAAUUCUGCUGAGUGGACGCAAACACCAAAACCUCCAACUUUGGGCAUUUUCUCAAACAGAUGCACCUAUGGUAUGCUAGGUCCCUUUUUGUUUGUGGUGUUGUAGUGGUGAAAAUAUGUAGAGGAAGAGGCUUGAAAAUAAUAAGCCUCCCAAAUUUGGUGUGGAGCAAUGAAGAUUUAGGAGGAAAUGAGCUGCAUUUUCCAUACUCUUACCCUUCCAAAAAACACUUUAGCUAUCUUGGUACUAAUGAUUUCUAUUAAACUAGAAGAAGAAAAGGCAAGGUAGAAGCUGGAAGCUCAGAGGAAUAGGGUAUAGAAACAAUUUAGGAGAAGAGAAAUGAAUUUGGAAAGUUAGAAAAGCCAAAAUAAUUGUAGGUUUUAAGUGAGACAUGUUUUUAAUCUGCAUUCUACCAUGUGUUUAAUGCCUCAAAAACCACAGAACAGCUAUUCCUGAAAUUGCUGAUCCUUAUUCCUUUUCAAUACCAAGGAUCCCUUUAGCUCUUAAAGAGAGACGACAGGAUAGCACAGAGUACAGAAGGAUUUGUCUAACAGCACAGCCAAUAUCCUGCUGCACAUAUCUUAGAGCUUGGCUUCAGAUCAACUGAAAGCCAUGGCUAAAUCAUAAUCCUGAUAAUCUAUGGAUUCCAUUAGAAAAAUAACUUCUCCAACUCCAAACUAAGGAUCUAGAAUACUUCAAUGGGUCACUGCAGGAAACCUGGAAACAUAAUUUCCAAAAUUUUUGAAGCAUCUCUACCUCAUUUUCAGAAGUCAUGCUAUUUGAAGAGAUCUUUUGCAACUUCACAACAGGGAAUGAUAAUCACUUCUACCUAUCUCCACAUGUAUUUACCAUAACACCUACAGGGAAACUCCUCUUUCUAUACCCACAGCCUCAUGCCAUAGCAAAAUCAUUAACUCCCCACUACUGCAUCCAUAGGCUCUUUAAUGCAAACUGAGCAGAACAGACUAUUUAUUGACCAUAAAGUAAUAUAAUAAAUAUAUUCCUAAAAAAUCUGAAGGUACAUUUCAACAACUAAAGCAACCUGUGUCAACCAAAAACUUAAUUCAUAUAUACAAAACUAGACAAAAAACUAAAACCUAAGAAUGGGUAAUGUGUACACUCUUCAAAGGUUUUCUUCUUAAAGAGUAAAGGGGAGGGGGAGGGAAUGGAGACAUAAACCAAAAAAAAAAAGAAAUGGUUGUUGUGUAUUCAAGGCAUGUCUAAUGAACACCUGCCCAAUGUCAGCUAUACUUCAGCUCUCAUUUGCACUAUUCAAACUUAUAAAGUUGAAGAGCAACCUACGCCUGUUGUUUCUCCUCUCCCACCACACUUAGGAAUGGAAGGCAUCUUUAGGAAGGAAGGUAAGUUGAAUUCCAUAGGAAAACUCUUAAUUGAUCAAAUAGCAGCAAAGGUAGAUAUAAUUUAUAGCCAGAUAGGUCUUAUAUAAAAUAAGCAGUUUCUGAUGGCUCUUUGUGUGCUGUAAUCCUCACUAUAACAAUACAAAAUCACCUAAAUAUGUGUUUAUGUAGCCUACAUGCAGAAAAGCUUCUGGCACAAACUUCUUAGGCCUCUUCUCAAGAGCCUUAAGCCUGAGCCCCUGAAGUGACAGAGCUCAAGUCAAAUCAGGAAGGAUGAAGACCAGAAAGGAAUAAGAAGAACAAUACUUUGUGGUCACUUGUUUGUUCUACCUUUCUAAACUGGUCCUAGUUCAGGUUCUCUUAUAUAUGCCAUUAUCCAUUAAUUCAGCUAUUAUGAUAAAAUGUUUCCAGUCUGUCUAAUGUAGGCAAGUACUGACACAGUGCUAUUUUUCCUACAUGACCCAGAUGAAAUCUUUUGACAGCCCUGGAACUCUCAUUUAUUUCCUCCUCUAGAUUCCUAUUCUGUGGCCCCAGAAUUACUAUGGAGGAGACACACUGUGAAUGGUCCUGUAGAAAUAGGUGGGUAGAGUAAGAGAAUUCCAGCAAUGGGCUCCCCUCCUCCAAUAUCAAUUUUUCUUUCUUCUCUAUAGUAUUUAACAAGCAAGCAGAGAGGGAAAGGCUGGCAUACAAAUGAGAGGAUGCUGCAAAGAGCAACCCCUAGCUUUUUAGGAAUCCUCAUAUCUUUUCAGGGGUUAUCAGCAUUUAUCUGGAAAAUAUCUUUGGAAUAUGUCUUGUGUGUAGGAAUGCAUAAAAGAUAACACCUUGCAAAAGUCAAACAUAUAGGUUUAAUAAUGUGCAACUAAUGAAGAUGGCUUAUAAAUGAAAUACCACCUACACAUUUAGUUCC
rnacentral:lncRNA from 1 species